rnacentral:rRNA from 1 species
ACUCGAGUGGCGAACGGGUGAGUAACACGUGGGUGAUCUGCCCUGCACUCUGGGAUAAGCCUGGGAAACUGGGUCUAAUACCGGAUAGGACCAUGCUUUAGUGUGUGUGGUGGAAAGUUUUUCGGUGUAGGAUGAGCCCGCGGCCUAUCAGCUUGUUGGUGGGGUAAUGGCCUACCAAGGCGGCGACGGGUAGCCGGCCUGAGAGGGUGAACGGCCACAUUGGGACUGAGAUACGGCCCAG